AACGAACGCUGGCGGCAUGCCUAACACAUGCAAGUCGAACGAACCCUUCGGGGGUAGUGGCGCACGGGUGCGUAACGCGUGGGAAUCUGCGCUUGGCUUCGGAAUGACAGGUAGAAAUGACUGCUAAUACCGGAUGAUGUCUUCGGACCAAAGAUAUAUCGGCAAAGGAUGAGCCCGCGUAGGAUUAGGUAGUUGGUGGGGUAAAGGCCUACCAAGCCGACGAUCCUUAGCUGGUCUGAGAGGAUGAUCAGCCACACUGGGACUGAGACACGGCCCAGACUCCUACGGGAGGCAGCAGUGGGGAAUAUUGGACAAUGGACGAAAGUCUGAUCCAGCAAUGCCGCGUGAGUGAUGAAGGACUUAGGGUUGUAAAGCUCUUUUACCAGGGAUGAUAAUGACAGUACCUGGAGAAUAAGCUCCGGCUAACUCCGUGCCAGCCGCCGCAGUAAUAC
rnacentral:rRNA from 1 species